GUGGUUAUAGCUCAGUUGGUAGAGCCCUGGAUUGUGAUUCCAGUUGUCGUGGGUUCGAGCCCCAUUAACCACCCCAUUC
rnacentral:tRNA from 1 species